GGAUCUGGCUGGGUAGUGCUGGGUAGUGUGGAAUGUUAACGAAGCUGUUCUUGAACUUGUAGAGAUCCACCUCUGUGGUCUGUCUCUGCCUCUCAGGAGCCGGGGUUACUGGGUUUAAAGUUACUUUAAAGCCCCAUUCUUACAGUUUUAAGAUACCCUGGCUGUUUCCCGUGGCGAGAACUGGACCUAGUUAUGACGUAGUUGGUCUUGUCAACUCUUAGAAUCACCUGGGAGAGCUCUCUCAACUGAGGUUGGGAAGGCCUAUCCUCAGAAUGGGAAGUCUAAGGUCUGGGGAAAACCCGAGUACACCUGCCUACCCUCUCUUUCCUGUGCGAAGGGGUCCAUUGCUGCCCCUGCCUUCCUCUGCCAGUGCCACACGUCAGUCUCCUGGAACUUCAGACGAGUGAUGUCAACCUAGAGACCCUACAGAGCCCCAGGCCUUCGGUAUCUGCUUGGGGCUACCGAGGACACCAACGUUCUGUAUGUCUGUGGGGCCCACUCGGCACUGAAGCUUCACUGAAGCCAUGACAACCCACAGCGUUUCCUGUCUUCUAUUGUGUGCCACCUUUAUCAAAGAGACAGAGUAUAGUGAAAGUCCUGGGUGAGUGUGGUGACGGUGAUGAACUGUGUUUUAUGGUGGUAAGAGCUGGGGCACUCUUUCAAAUUCACCGGCUUUCUCUGAAAGGAAAUAAAUUCAUACAGUAAAUCUUCCGGGUAAGUUAAAUCGUGGUUGCUUUAACUAUUUCCCAGUGACACUCACAGAUUCACUCUUCAUUUACCUGGUUAGCCGGGUAUUUGAAUGAAAGCUUGCUUACAACCAGUUUGUUAUGUGUGCAGGGUUUGGGAGCUUCUGUCCCCAACACUGCGGUGUGGAGAAGCAGAGGACACCUGAGACGUUAGCCCUUCUCAGCAGCACACUGUCAGAUGCCCGACAGCCCCUCUCUCUCACUCAGACUGCUCUUCCGAGAGGUCGAGGAUCCUGGGCAGAAUAA
rnacentral:sRNA from 1 species